rnacentral:rRNA from 1 species
AUGACGCUUCAGGAUGCAGUUGAUUUCGAAGGUAUGGUCCUGAAGUGUCUGGAAUUUGGAGGCCCUGUGCAACCGGAGCCGCUCCGGUUGCACAUGCCAAGAUAUGAGCCUGGGGGUUGCAAUGGAGCACCAUCGGUGAUUGCAAUGGAGGGCUUCUGGCGCUGCAAUGAAGCGCCGCCGGUGCUUCGACUGUCGCGCGGUGCUGUGAUUGGUGCUGCCAUGGAAGCUGUUGCGCUGAAGCUUUUUGAUCGUGCUCGGUGUUGCCAUUUUGAGCAGCGACCCGGAUGGCUCCCCGGUGUUGUGAUCUGGUGGUCGCCGAUGGCACCAGUGCUCUGA